rnacentral:rRNA from 1 species
CCCAGCUUAAAUGUUUUGUAUUGGAAUGAUAGAAAUUUAAACACUUUUUAAAGUAUCAAUUGGAGGGCAAGUCUGGUGCCAGCAGCCGCGGUAAUUCCAGCUCCAAUAGCGUAUAUUAAAAUUGUUGCAGUUAAAAAGCUCGUAGUUGAAUUUUUGCUGGAAAUAACCGGUCUGCUUUUAUUAAUAAGAGUGGUAUCUUGGUGUGUUUUUAGCAAUAAUGUCCUUUGAAAUGUUUUUUACUUUAUUGUAAGAAGCAAUAUUCAGGAUUUUUACUUUGAGAAAAUUAGAGUGUUUCAAGCAAGCUAACGUUUUGAAUACUGCAGCAUGGAAUAAUAAAAUAGGAUUUUGGUUCUACAUUAUUGGUUUUAAGAACUAAAUUAAUGAUUGAUAGGGACAGUUGGGGGCAUUUGUAUUUAACUGUCAUAGGUGAAAAUUCUUAAGGAUG